UCCCGCGUAAUUUAAGCAUAUUAAUAAGCGGAGGAAAAGAAACUAACCAGGAUUCCCUUAGUAGCUGCGAGCGAACAGGGAGGAGCCCAGCACCGAAUCCUGCGUGCCUAGCGCGCGUCUGGAAAUGUGGUGUGUGGGAGGGCCCGUUUAUCUCGCCAGGGUGCGCCAGUCCAAGUCCGUCUUGAAAGCGGCCACAGCCCGUAGAGGGUGCCAGGCCCGUAGGACGGCGUCGCCCGAGCGAAAGGGUCUCUCCUCAGAGUCGGGUUGCUUGAGAGUGCAGCUCUAAGUGGGUGGUAAACUCCAUCUAAGGCUAAAUACGACCACAAGACCGAUAGCGAACAAGUACCGUGAGGGAAAGUUGAAAAGAACUUUGAAGAGAGAGUUCAAGAGUACGUGAAACCGUUCGGGGGUAAACGGGCGAAAUCUGGAAAAUCGAAGGGAGUGAUUCACGUCCGUUAUGCCGCGCGUUUCGCCGUGACCGUCGAUGGUGCGGUGUCGGCCCCCGUCGUUCGCCGCAAGGCGACGGCGACGGGUCGCGCCCCCACUUCCGAGUCGCGGUCGAUCGCCGGCGUCGGGCUGCACUUCACUCCUUGUAGUGCGUCGCAACCCGUUGGGCGUCUGUCAAAGGCCCGCCGUGGUGCAGGUCGCUCUGGUGCGCGCGUGUCGCGGGUUCGCCCGUGGCCCGCGCCCGUGCGGCCUACCGUGCGGUGUCCCGGCAGACCCGCCCGACGGUAUACGAUUCGGACGCGAAAAGAACCCCCGCUUGCGGGGGCGGCGUCCUCCGUGGCGCACGCGUCGUGUUGGCGACGAUCUAUUCAGAGCAUCACCCGACCCGUCUUGAAACACGGACCAAGGAGUCUAACAUGUGCGCGAGUCAUUGGGACCGCACUAAACCUAAAGGCGUAAUGAAAGUGAAGGUCGCGGCGCAAGCCCGGCCCAAAGAGGGGAGAUGUCCGCGGUCCUUAAUUGCGACCGUCUCGGACCGCAUCCCCGGGGCGUCUCGUUGUCAUUGCGACACAGUAGGCGCACCCAGAGCGUACACGUUGGGACCCGAAAGAUGGUGAACUAUGCCUGGUCAGGUCGAAGUCAGGGGAAACCCUGAUGGAGGACCGUAGCGAUUCUGACGUGCAAAUCGAUCGUCAGAGCUGGGUAUAGGGGCGAAAGACUAAUCGAACCAUCUAGUAGCUGGUUCCCUCCGAAGUUUCCCUCAGGAUAGCUGGCACUCGGAGUUUAACUUUGUGACGGGGCGGGCGCUCUGCGCCGGUCCCCGUCGUACCAGUCUCAUCUGGUAAAGCGAAUGAUUAGAGGCCUUGGGGCCGAAACGACCUCAACCUAUUCUCAAACUUUAAAUGGGUGAGAUACUCGACUUGCUCGAACGAUGAAGUCGAGGCGCGACCCCGCAAGGGGCCGCGCUCUAUGGUGGAUGAAAGAGUGCCAAGUGGGCCAAUUUUGGUAAGCAGAACUGGUGCUGUGGGAUGAACCAAACGUCGAGUUAAGGCGCCUAAAUCGAUGCUCAUGGGAUACCAUGAAAGGCGUUGGUUGCUUAAGACAGCAGGACGGUGGCCAUGGAAGUCGGAAUCCGCUAAGGAGUGUGUAACAACUCACCUGCCGAAGCAACUAGCCCUGAAAAUGGAUGGCGCUCAAGCAUCGUGCCUAUACUCGACCGUCACCGGCAAAGGAGAUGUGGCCCCUCGAAAGGCCCUCUCACGAGGUCGUGACGAGUAGGAGGGUCGCGACGGUGUGCGCAGAAGCGUUGGCCGCGAGGCUGCGUGGAGCCGCCGUCGGUGCAGAUCUUGGUGGUAGUAGCAAAUACACUAGCGAGGCCCUGGUGGACUGAUGUGGAGAAGGGUUUCGUGUGAACAGCCGUUGCACACGAGUCAGUCGAUCCUAAGCCCCAGGAGAAAUCCGAUGUUGAUGUGCAGUCGCAUAAACCCGAAUGUGUAUACGAAAGCAACACGCGAGGUUUGACCACAUCGGGCGAAAGGGAAUCCGUUUCCUAUUACGGAACCCGGCCGCGGAACCGACCAUGCGGGCCAAUGUCGGCGCGCUGUGGCGUGCAGUCCCUCGAGGGCGGCGCCCGCGCGUCCGGCAACUCGUCGGGGUAACCCAAAAGGACCCGGAGACGCCGUCGGAUGAUCGAGGCAGAGUUUUCUGUUCUGCAUAAGCGUUCGAGUUCCCUGGAAUCGCCUAGCGCGGAGAUAGGGUUUGGAACGCGAAGAGCACCGCACUUGCGGCGGUGUCUCGAUCUAUCCCUCGGACCUUGAAAAUCCGGGAGAGGGCCACGUGGAGGUGUCGCGCCGGUUCGUACCCAUAUCCGCAGCAGUCUCCAAG
rnacentral:rRNA from 1 species